AUUGAACGCUGGCGGCAUGCUUUACACAUGCAAGUCGAACGGCAGCGCGGGCUUCGGCCUGGCGGCGAGUGGCGAACGGGUGAGUAAUACAUCGGAACGUGCCCAGUAGUGGGGGAUAGCUCGGCGAAAGCCGGAUUAAUACCGCAUACGACCUGAGGGUGAAAGCGGGGGAUCUUCGGACCUCGCGCUAUUGGAGCGGCCGAUGGCAGAUUAGCUAGUUGGUGGAGUAAAGGCCUACCAAGGCGACGAUCUGUAGCUGGUCUGAGAGGACGACCAGCCACACUGGGACUGAGACACGGCCCAGACUCCUACGGGAGGCAGCAGUGGGGAAUUUUGGACGAUGGGCGAAAGCCUGAUCCAGCAAUGCCGCGUGUGUGAUGAAGGCCUUCGGGUUGUAAAGCACUUUUGGCGGGAACGAAAAGGACUGUGCCAAUACCACGGUUCGAUGACGGUACCCGCAGAAUAAGCACCGGCUAACUACG
rnacentral:rRNA from 1 species